CUACGGGUCGCUGCAGUCGAGAAUCUUCCGCAAUGGACGAAAGUCUGACGGAGCGACGCCGCGUGCGGGAUGAAGGCCUUCGGGUUGUAAACCGCUGUCAGUGGGGAGGAAAUGCAUCAGGGUUCUCCCUGGUGUUUGACCGAUCCGCAGAGGAAGCGCAGGCUAAGUUCGUGCCAGCAGCCGCGGUAACACGAACUGCGCGAACGUUAUUCGGAAUCACUGGGCUUAAAGAGUUCGUAGGCGGCCUUUCAAGUCGGGUGUGAAAUCCCUCGGCUCAACCGAGGAAUUGCGCCUGAUACUGUUGGGAUUGAGGGGGAUAGGGGUGAGCGGAGCUGAUGGUGGAGCGGUGAAAUGCGUUGAUAUCAUCAGGAACACCGGUGGCGAAGGCGGCUCACUGGAUCUCUUCUGACGCUGAGGAACGAAAGCUAGGGGAGCGGACGGGAUUAGAUACCCCCGUAGUC
rnacentral:rRNA from 1 species